rnacentral:lncRNA from 1 species
UAGCAGAAUAUACAAGCCAGAGUCUUUCAAUCUGAAAAAAAAUCUGGACCUUUUAAUGACCUUUCUAUUGAUUAGAUUUUUGAGAUGAUAAUGAGAUAAUAAAUCACCACUGAUAAUUAGGAAUUCUUAAACCUGUUUAGCUGGUAUAGCAGUACAGAAAAGCACAGCAUAACAUUUCUAUGCCUUCAAGAUACUGAGUGUACCACAACCUUGUAUCUUGGCUGCAGCUGCUUCUGGGCCAUGCCAUCCUCCUCCAUGAGAAGCUUGCCUUUUCCUGAGGGCUGUAGUUGCUGUGGAGGACUGCACAUAUUUUAGUCUUCUGGUAGUUGGAAAACAAAAGGCACCUUCAAAAUGUGCUCUGACAGACAGCUCAUUGGACAAGUCGCCUGUCCUGGCUUGUGACCCAAGGAGAAAUUUAUGUUUCUUACAUUUUUCCUAUAGCUGCUCAAUAGAGGUUAGGACAGAGUCCCAGGCAUGUUCUAAAGCUUCACUAAUGUUUUCCAUAUCUGCAGAAACAGGGCCAAGUCUGAGUCCCUUCACAGUCCAUGGUGAAACUCACUUUGAGUACUGGGACAGAUACUUGGCCUACAUUCCUUAGUUUGUGUUACUUUAUCUGGUUGUCUCUAGUGCUCAAGGAAUAAACUGUUAAGAAUGGAUUUAUAUAUCCUCUAAGGAAGAACUGGAAGUAACUCAGAAUACAGAGAAAAAGAAAAACAAUAAAAUAACUGCUAUAUCAUGGUGCUGACAACCCACAGAGGAGAGAAAUGGAGAAGCUGUGCUGUCCUCUCCAUCCCAGAGGAGGCGGUGAGGGAAUCAGCAAUGGGCUUGGCAGCCUCGCGCUGUGCAAGGCAGGGUGGAGCAGCCUGUGCUGGGUCAUACGGAUUGAUUUGGCCUCAUGACAGUAAAAUGACACUUCUUUUAAAGAAGAAAAGCAACAAUGGCAACCAAAAGAAAAAGGCAUUGAGAGUGGGGGAAAAAAUCAAUCUUGGAAGACUUGUUGACCAAUGAAGCUCUAAGUUUAGUUAUGUUGUAUCUGCUCUUUGGCAUUUUGCUCUUCCAGUUACACUGCCUGAUUCUUUCAAACAAUGAAAACUGUAUCUCUAAAACUGUAUGUAUAUGUGGACCUAAAUUUUGUAAGUCUCCCUGGUCUUGGGACAGGUAGACAGCACAGGUAGAGCCCUGCAUUUUGUGACUGAGGUAGAGCAUCCAGCAGGCAAGGCUGCGUUUGUUGGGAUGUCAGGUGGGUACAAUAACCUUGGGGCCAAGUCCACUGCCUUCUG